rnacentral:lncRNA from 1 species
AUUUGUGAUAUUGCCAAAAUAUAGUUAAAGAAAUGCUAUAAACAUGCUGUACCAGUAUUGUAAAUUAAAGUUUUAGAGUGCUGAAUGCAUAUUAUAUGAAGUUGUUUGUAAAAAUCUGAGUCAUAAUAGAGUGGAUUAAUUAUGGACUUGAAAAAUUGCUAGCUUGAGCAAAUGUGAUACUAAUGUUAGUGUUAUGAUAGUGCUGGCCGUUACAUUUGCUUUAUAAUUUAUUUUCAUAUUUUUACAUACUACCA